GGGCGGUUAGCUCAGUUGGUUAGAGCGUUCGGUUUACACCCGAAAGGUCGGCAGUUCGAAUCUGUCACCGCCCACCA
rnacentral:tRNA from 1 species